rnacentral:rRNA from 1 species
AUGGCAGAAUUGGUGCUCACUGGCUUAAGAUUGGCCGCAUCGCCGGUCUUGAUGAAGCUCCUUGCUGAUGCUUCAACGUACCUUGGAGUGGACAUAGCGCAUGAGCUCCAUGAGUUGGAGACCACUAUCAUGCCGCAGUUCAAGCUGGUGAUUGAAGCAGCAGACAAGGGAAACCACAGGCCCAAGUUGGGCAAAUGGCUUCACGAACUCAAAGAAGGCUUCUACAUGGCUCAAGAUUUGCUGGACGACCAUGAGUACAAUAACCUCAAGCGCCAAGCAAAGGGGAAAGAUUCCUUGCCAGCCAAUGCAUCCUCCAUCAGAAGCACUUUUAUGAAGCCCCUGUGUGCUGCAUCGAGCAGGCUGUCCAAUAUGAGCUCUGAGAAUAGGAAGCUAAUUCGCCAGCUAAAUGAACUGAAGGCUACACUGGCAAAAGCCAAGGACUUCCGUGAACUGCUCUGCUUACCAUCAGGUUAUAAUGCAGAAAGCUCCGCCAUACCAGCUGUUGUCCCUGAGGCCACAUCACUACCACCUCCAAAAGUGAUUGGUCGUGACAAGGAUCGUGAUCGUAUAAUAGAUCGUCUUACCAAGACAACUGCUACUACUGAGUCUAGUUCGGCUCUGUACUCGGGUUUGGCCAUUGUUGGAGUUGGAGACAUGGGAAUGUCCACCUUGGCACAACUUGUUUACAAUGACAAGAGGGUAAAAGAAUAUUUUGAUGUGACAAUGUGGGUAAGCAUCUCACGCAAACUUGAUGUCCACCGUCAUACACGGGAGAUCAUUGAGUCUGCCUCUCAGGGGGAAUGCCCACGCAUUGAUAACCUUGAUACUCUGCAGCGCAAGUUGACAGCCAUACUGCAAGCAUCAGGAAAGUUCCUGCUUGUUCUGGAAAAUGUUUGGUUUGAACCUGGCAGUGAUAGGGAAUGGGACCAACUGUUAGCUCCUCUAGUUUCCCGACAGACGGGAAGCAAAGUUUUGGUAACUUCUCGACGGGAUACAUUUCCAGCCGCUUUUUGCUGUGAAGAAGUGUGUCCACUGGAAAAGAUGGAAGAUGCUCAGUUCUUGGCACUCUUCAAACACCAUGCAUUCUCUGGAUCAGAAAUAAAAAAUAAGCACCUGCGUGAAAGGCUGGAAGAUUUUGCAAAGAAGAUCGUUAAAAGGCUUGGACAAUCUCCUUUGGCGGCUAAAGUUGUGGGAUCCCGGUUGAAAGGGAAAGCCGAUAUCACUACAUGGAAGGAUGCUUUAAGUAUAAAGAUUGACAAAUUAAAUGAUCCCAUGAGAGCUCUGUUGUGGAGUUAUAAGAAGUUAGAUCCACGUCUGCAAAGGUGCUUCCUAUACUGCAGCUUGUUUCCAAAAGGGCACGAGUAUGUCAUCGAUGAGUUGGUUUAUCUUUGGAUGGCAGAGGGCCUUGUUGAUUCGUGCAACCAAAACAAGAGAGUGGAAGAUAUUGGGAGGGAUUGCUUCAAGAAGAUGGUCUCUGCUUCGUUCUUUCAACCAUACAUUGCCCCGUAUUAUGUUAUGCAUGAUCUCCUUCAUGAUCUGGCAGAAUCACUCUCCAAAGAAGACUACUUCAGAUUGGAAGAUGACAAGGUCACAGAAAUACCAUCCACUGUUCGACAUCUAUCUGUUCGUGUUGAUAGUAUGAUGCAACACAAGCAAAGUAUCUGCAAGCUACAUCAUUUACGCACUAUUAUUUGCAUAGACCCCCUAGUGGAUGAUGUAAGUGACCUUUUUAAUGAGAUACUACAGCAUUUGAAGAAGUUGCGCGUACUAUGUUUGUCAUCUUCCAGCGGUACUAAGUUGCCAGAAUCUGUUGGUGAGUUGAAGCACCUUCAAUAUUUGAACAUCAGCGGAACACUGAUUUCUGUAUUGCCAAGAUCAGUGUGUGCUCUUUACCACUUGCAGUCACUUCUGUUUUCCAAUAUAGAUCGGAGUUUUCCUGAGAAACUCUGCACUUUAAGGAAGUUACGACAUCUUGGACAGAUAUGCAUGCCAGUCGUGCCCCAGUUUCCUAACAUUGGUAAGAUGACUUCGCUUCAACAAUUUGACAAUUUUUCUGUGCAAAAGAAAAAGGGAUAUGAGUUGCAACAGCUGAGGGACAUGGAUCAAAUUCGUCACUGUUUAACUAUCACAAAUCUUGAGAAUGUCACUGGGAAGGAUCAAGCCUUAGAAUCAAAGCUGCAUCAGAAAAUUCAUCUUGACAGCUUGCGACUUAUCUGGAGUUGCAACAAUAACACUGAUACAGAGGAUAGUUUGCAUUUGGAGAUUCUAGAAGGUCUGAUGCCACCAUCUCAACUUGGACAUCUUACAAUUGAAGGUUACAAAUCAUCAAAAUAUCCGGGCUGGCUAGUUGAUGGUUUGUAUUUUGAGAAUUUGGAAUCUUUAAGAUUUGUUGAUUGCAGCGAAUUGCAAAGCCUACCAUCCAAUACUGAGCUAUUUGUGAAUUGCUCUAGACUUGCCUUCGAAAAUGUGCCAAACCUGAAGACAUUACCUUGUCUUCCACUAGGCCUUAAAUGUUUGGAAGUACACAAAUGCCCACUGAUUGUAUUUAUUUCCAACGAUGAGCUGGAUCAUCAUUAUGAGAGAGAAAAUAUCAUGAGGACAAAACACUUGAUAUCACUGUUAAACACAUUAUUGUGA